UUUCAUAAACAACCAGGAUGUUGGCUCAGAAGCAGCCACCAUUUAAAGAGUGCGUAAUAGCUCACUGGUCGAGAGACCCUGCGCCGAAGAUUCCCGGGGCUAAAGUACGAAACCGAAGCUGUGGCUGUAUACGUAAAGUAUACGGGGUAGGGGAGCGUUCCCAUAGGGUAGAAGUCGAACUGGAAGGUUCGGUGGACUUGUGGGAAGUGAGAAUGUUGGUAUGAGUAGCGAAAAGAAAGGUGAGAAUCCUUUCCACCGAAAGCAUAAGGAUUCCUGAGCAACGAUCGUCGUCUCAGGGUAAGUCGGGACCUAAUCCGAGGCAGAGAGCGUAGGAGAUGGACAACUGGUUGAUAUUCCAGUACCGGUAGUAAUUGUUUGAGCAAUGGAGUGACACAGAAGGGCAGGCAAGCAUGCGAAUGGAAGAGCAUGUGUAAGCGUGUAGGGUGGUGCAUAGGCAAAUCCGUGCACUGAAAGCCUGAGGCGUGAUGCGGAGUGAGCAGAGAUGCGAGCGAAGUUGUUGACCCCACACUGUCGAGAAAAGCUUCUAGUGAGAGAGCUACCGCCCGUACCGUAAACCGACACAGGUAGGCGGGGAGAGAAUCCUAAGGUGCGCGGGAGAACCCUCGUUAAGGAACUCGGCAAAAUGUACCCGUAACUUCGGGAUAAGGGUAGCCACUGUUGUGAAGUCCCAUGCGGAUGGAGCAUAGAGUGGUCGCAGAGAAGAGGCCCAAGCGACUGUUUACCAUAAACACAGGUGCCUGCUAAAGCGAAAGCUGACGUAUAGGUGCUGACACCUGCCCAGUGCCGGAAGGUUAAGGAAGGAUGUUCGGAUUAGUCCAAAGCAUUCGACUGAAGCCCCGGUGAACGGCGGCCGUAACUAUAACGGUCCUAAGGUAGCGAAAUUCCUUGUCGGGUAAGUUCCGACCCGCACGAAAGGUGUAACGAUUUGGGCACUGUCUCAACGAGGGACCCGGUGAAAUUGAAAUACCUGUGAAGAUGCAGGUUACCCGCGACUGGACAGAAAGACCCCAUGGAGCUUUACUGUAACCUGACAUUGGGUUUUGAUACAUUACGUACAGGAUAGGUGGGAGGCUUGGAAAGCUGGACGCUAGUCUGGCUGGAGCCGACGUUGGGAUACCACCCUUGAUGUAUUGAAAUUCUAACCGCGAGAGUAACGAAAUCCGGGACAGUGUCAGGCGGGCAGUUUGACUGGGGCGGUCGCCUCCGAAAGAGUAACGGAGGCGCCCAAAGGUUCCCUCAGCGCGGCCGGAAAUCGCGCGAAGAGUGUAAAGGCAGAAGGGAGCUUGACUGCGAGUCAAACACGACGAGCAGGUACGAAAGUAGGGCUUAGUGAUCCGGUGGUACCGAGUGGAAGGGCCAUCGCUCAACGGAUAAAAGCUACCCUGGGGAUAACAGGCUAAUCUCUCCCAAGAGUCCAUAUCGACGGGGAGGUUUGGCACCUCGAUGUCGGCUCAUCACAUCCUGGGGCUGAAGUCGGUCCCAAGGGUUGGGCUGUUCGCCCAUUAAAGUGGUACGUGAGCUGGGUUCAGAACGUCGUGAGACAGUUCGGUCCCUAUCCAUCGCGGGCGCAAGAGAUUUGAAGGGGGCUGCUCCUAGUACGAGAGGACCGGAGUGGACGAACCGCUGGUGUACCAAUUAUCCCGCCAGGGGUACAGUUGGGUAGCUACGUUCGGAAAGGAUAAACGCUGAAAGCAUCUAAGCGUGAAACCAGCCUUAAGAUGAGAUCUCUCAUAGAGCAAUCUAGUAAGACACCUUAAAGAAGAUGAGGUUGAUAGGUCGGGAGUGUAAGUACAGCAAUGUAUUGAGCGGACCGAUACUAAUAUGUCGAGGGCUUGACUUA
rnacentral:rRNA from 1 species